UACGUAGGGUGCAAGCGUUGUCCGGAAUUAUUGGGCGUAAAGAGCUCGUAGGCGGUUUGUUGCGUCGGCUGUGAAAAUCCCCGAGGCUCAACCUCGGGUCUGCAGUCGAUACGAGCAAACUAGAGUGUUGCAGGGGGAGACUGGAAUUCCUGGUGUAGCGGUGAAAUGCGCAGAUAUCAGGAGGAACACCGGUGGCGAAGGCGGGUCUCUGGGCCGAUACUGACGCUCAUGCACGAAAG
rnacentral:rRNA from 1 species